rnacentral:rRNA from 1 species
UACGUAGGUGGCAAGCGUUGUCCGGAUUUACUGGGCGUAAAGAGCGCGCAGGCGGUCGUUCAAGUCGCGUGUGAAAGCCCCCGGCUCAACUGGGGAGGGUCACGCGAUACUGAUCGACUCGAAGGCAGGAGAGGGAAGUGGAAUUCCCGGUGUAGUGGUGAAAUGCGCAGAUAUCAGGAAGAACACCAAUGGCGAAAGCAGCUCUCUGGGACGGUACUGACGCUGAGACGCGAAAGCGUGGGGAGCGAACAGG